UUCGUGUGCUUAUAUGAUUUCCUUGAAUGUGAUUUGGAACGCAUUCCUAAAUCUCAUUCAUACUCUGGCCAGAGGUUCUAAAUCAUAUCAUAGAGUAUUCUCCCUCAAACCAUUUGAAGGUUAGAGAUCCCUUGUUGCGCAUUCACUUGCCUCCAUGACUAAGUGGCUUAACCCCAACGAUGCCGUGGACACCCCGAUAGGGUGACUUUGACAUAAUCAAAGAUCAAGGACUUAACCACAAGACAACUGUGAUGCCUCAAGUCAAAGGACUACUUUGCAUUAUCCCAACCAUGAGUUCUCAUGUGACAUGAAUAUGGGAACUCUUCGUUGAUCGUGUUCAGUGAACUCAUUCUCUAUUGAGCACCUACGUACUUGUCUUGAUGUCACACACACCAAUGACUCGAGACUAGUCACUCUCCCUGAGAGAAUACAUAGCACGUAUUGAUCUUAACGGACUAUCAAUGCCCAAUUGGCAAUCCUAUGAUCAGGAACGUUUAGGAUGUGUCUACGAAAGAAUGGUCUCAUGAAUCUAACUUCUUUAGAUUGCAUUCUCCCAAUAAGAUAUUCCUUGGACUUAUCGUUUAAGCAUAUAACAUUUAUAUGAGACGGCUCAAACAAUAAUCUUUACCUUUGAUAUUAAACUAGAUUAGUUUAACAUGUGAAAUGUCCGUAAAGUAUCAUCAUAUGAUUGGUUUUAGGGCACAUUUCCAACAAUCUCCCACUUGCACUAGAGCCAAUCAGCUUGGUCAUCAGUGAUGAUACCUCUUCUGUAGUCAUUUCAUAAAUGGCUGAAUAGUAGGCCUAGACAAUGGAUAUCUAUAUGUUAUCCAUAGAAGCAACCUUGAGAAUAACGACGUCACCAUUAUACAUGAUUCUCAAUCAUGUGGUUCAGUCUCUCAUUUGAGUUCGGACCUUGAUGAGACCUUGAUUCCCUGGCUUGAGCUAUCGCCCCAUUAGUGUCAUACACUUUCUGGUUGGAACCGAAUAGAGAGUUCAUAAAUGAACUUUCCCAUCCAAACAACAUUGUUGUAAACUUCUAUAUGGCAAUAUAUUUUGCAUUCAUAAUGGAACACACUAAAGUCAUUACUUUAAUGUUUCCAUCCAAAUAUCUCUUUAGUCAUAAUAAAGAGAUAUCUGUUUAUCUCUUCAUUCAUAAUGAAGAAACAUCCAAUGAUGGAUUAGAUUCAUAAUCUAAUACAUUUACGCUUCCAUUACGUUACUCUAAUUCUUCCUCGAUCUUUGAGGAAUUUAUCCUUUAGUAUUUCUUAAAUACUUAAGGACUCACUUGACAGUUGCCAUGGUUCUGAUCCUGGGCUUGCACUGAUAUCGUCUUGCACCUUUCUAGGUACAACUCAUAUCAAUGUUUUUCAUACAAUAUGAAAUACAUAAAUCACCUUUCUGCGUAUGCAUAAAGGAUUCUAUUUACGCAUUAUUUCUUUGAGAGUCAAAGAGUACGUUGUCUUUGAGAAGAGCAACUCCUUAGUCUUACUAGAGUUGUCCAUUUGAUUGAAGUUCAUCAUCAUAUGAGAAACUUCCUAUCAUCUUUUGUCUAUAUUUAGGGCUUGAUAUAAUCCAAUUAUAUCCUAAAAUCUAUCAAUAUAGAUUUCCAUCCCAUGUAUAUAUACUAUGUCUCCCAUAUACAUUCUAUCUUCAUAUAAUGUUUUAAAGUCAUAACUUUAACGAAGAAGUAUUCUUUUCAUUUCCAAAAUUAAUAUAUCAUAUAUAUAUUUAAAUUUUAGGAACAUGAUUAACUUCCAUAUACAUUCUAUCUUCAUAUAAUGUAUUAAAGUCAUAACUUUAAUGGAGAAGCAUUCUUUUCAUUUCCAAAAUUAAUAUAUCAUAUAUAUAUUUUAAAUUUUAGGAACAUUAUUAACUCCCACUAAUCUUUUGUAAACCUAGUAAACAAAAGAUUCAUUUACAUCUUUAUGAGAAAUCAAACGAUUUGAUCCUUUUCUCAUAAGAUGCUUAUAGCUCCCACUAGCUUGCUAAGAUCCAUGAUGGAUGGAUCUCUACAACUUACAUGUCUUGUGAUUAUAGUUUUAGACAUAUAUUAUCAAGACUAUCUUAAUAAUGGUUUCGGAAACCCAUAUAAUGUCCAAACAUUGAAUCACCAUUUAGUUGUAGCUAGCUAUCUUUGAAUUAAUUGAAACCAAGACUAUCCCAAAGAUGGUUUCUUCAUAGUCAACCAUUCUCUUUGAUUGUAGUCACCUUAAGCUACCAUUUAGCUUAUGAAGGUUUCAUUAUUUCGGGUCAAAUGGUACUUUACCAUUUUCUUGAGUAUAUAUCAUAUAUACACUCAAUGUAGUCAUAAGGAUUUUCAUUCUUAUUUCUUUCGAAUUAAGAGGUGUAACUCUAUGACGUAGUCAUAAAGUUCAAACCAUUCAACUUUGACGGUUUAUAAAUCCUUCUCGACUACCUUGGAGCUUUUGGUAUUGGAACUAGGUUGUUUAUAUUUGUUGAUUACUUUCUUGUCUCUCAAAGAACCCAUUCUUUGAGUUCUAUCUCUUGUUCAUUUGCUUUUAGGCAAAUCACAUUGUAGGAUUACAAUGAACUACCCAACAAAACAACAUUUGUUAAUUGGUUUAUAGAAGCGAUAUCCAAAAGUUAAUUUAAGGAUAUCCCACAAGAUUGUUAUCAAACAAAUAUUGCUUAUUAGCACACAACCCCAAAUCUUAACACGAUUAAGUUUUGUCUUUCUUUCCAACUACAUCUUAUGGAGUCAUGAAAAUUUUUGGAAGAUCUUCUAAUUGACAAUCAUAUUGUCUUAGAAGUAUAUAUCCUAUAUAUGGGUAAUAGAUAACAUCUAACGAACUAAAUCUUAUUCGAGUUCGUUCUUCUCCUUAAUGGAGAAAUUUAUUAUCUUAUGAUGCUUCUUUCCUUGAUAUCUUUCAAGGAGACUCAUCUAAAGUGUUUCUUUUCCUUGGAUCAAAUCUAAGGAGGUAAAUACUUUAGACGUCUUACUCAUCAACUUACAUUACUUGAAUUCUUUGAAACCUUUUGCAAAGUAUUCGGACUUGUGUUUAUUUAAAAUAAACUAUAGUCCAACCGAGGGUGAUCUUCGGUGAAUGUCAUACAACAUGAGUAGUAUUAUGUUGUGGAUAAGUGCCACUAACAUCUAAGUGAAUUAACCUCAACAACUUUGUGAUUCUUUCUUCUUUCCAAAAGAAUAAAGAUUCGAACAUUUCGCCUCUAUACAAUUUUAACAAGAAAGGUAUUGGAUCCGGAUCUAACGAUCCAUAGCAUCCAUCUAUCACCAACUCGUAACUUAUGUUUUUAGAGGUAUCACAAUUUAGUUGGGAUUAGUCACUACCUUGCAACCUUUUUGGGUUUUAAGCAUCAUUUUAUUCUAAACAGUUAACACCACCAUAUUAUCUCUACUAUAGAGACAAUCAAUUAGAUUACUAUAAUCCAAUCAUUGAUUAAUAAAGAACAAUGUUUUGUCAAACAAAACAUUCAUCCAUCUCUACUAUAGUGGCGGAAUUAAGUUCCUUAAAAUUGGAAUGUAAAGACAAUCUUUGGUUUUUCCAAUUUCUUUGGUAGUUCAUAUGAGGAAGUAAGUACUAUCUGCUUUCGCAGAGAUCUUUAUUUUAUUCACGUUCCGAAUGUGAAGCACCUUUUUCUUCUCUCAUAUAUCUUCUACUUCUUAUUAGUCACACUUUUACAACGAUUGUAAAACAUAGUUACUAAUACGGAAUCAAGCAUUCAAGUAGAAGAACCAACUGUUUUGAACUAUUCAAGAACAAUUUACAACACCUUCGAAAAGUGUGUUCUUGACACUUGCAAGACAUUUCUUGUAAAUACCCCUUCCAAUGUCCAUCCUUUCAUAAAGAAAGUUUGUUCCCUUGGAGUUAAUUUUAUCUUCUUUAUUUGACUUCUCCUUUGACUACAAUAGUCAUGGUCCCUAAACUCCCACUAUCUCUCUUGAAACUUAUUUCAAUUGUGUUAUACACAUCAAACAUUUUGGAGAGCAUGUGUUUAUUGUUCACUACAUAGUUUACAAUAAACUUAGUGAACCAUUAGGAUAGGGACAUAAAGGUGAAGUCCUUGCCUAGUUUCCGUCUCGUUAAGUGGUUUAUCACUUCAACACUCAAUGAUUCAAAAUCAUCAUAAGUCCAUGUUAAUGGACUAUUUUUGUCAACCAACCAUUAUGUUGUAAACAUAAUUACAAACUUUCAAGAGUUGUACAAGGCAACUCUCAUUUCUUCAUACAACAAUUUGUAAGUGAAGAAUCAUGGCACAUAAAGUGUCCAUGCCCUUGUGCUUACUUCUAAAGUUCCUUGUUCAUGUAACAAAGAAACAAGCACUAAUGUUUGCAUUGAUUAAGGGUUGUUCAAAGCAACUCUUAUUUCUUCAUACAACAAUUUGUAAUUGAAGAAUUAUGACAUUAAAAGUGUUGUCCUCUUUAUGAUAGACAUUUUCUAACAUAUUCUUCUACUGAUACAUUAUCAAUAUGAAGAUUGUGAGGAUGAGACUACUUAGGUACAUUUACAAGCCAUUAAAGACAAUCUAUGGUUUUGUAGUACCAAGUCCGGAAACUAAAGCUUUCGGCUUUUAUUUGUCAAGUGUUGGAUAGCGUUUGCAAAUAUAUUGGUAAACAAAUACAUAACGAAUAUAAAUUGAUUGAUUUUAAGCCAUUUGAUUCGGGUCUUUAAAUCAAAUAGCACCACCCACUAUUUUUGGCAAAUUCCAUAUCCCUCAUUGGAAUUCGAGAGUUUUGGAGGAAACUCUUAGUAGGGUCUCUUAGUAGGGUAUGGGAGACUCACUACUACCAAGCCCACCUCAGAAGAAAAUCAUAUUGGCUAGCGGUAAUAAUAAUGAGAGAGUACGCUUACUCAUUUGCAUCUCUUGCAAGUACCCAUCUAGUUUGGCUUCUAGAGAAUGAUGCCUCAGAAGAAUAUCAUAUUGGCACAUUGCACUUAGUUAAGUCAUUCCCACCAUGCUAGUUCAAGUAGGGGUUCAAGAAUGGCCUCAGAAGAAUAUCAUAUUGACCACACUCGUGCCUACCUUUCACUUCAUCAUAUGUGUAUAGGCUUCUCCUGAAUGUAAGCACAUACUUUUGCAACCCCAGAACUGGACGAAUACGGUGUAUGAGUCACAAACGAUUGAAGCCCACCACGGUGGAAGGCCACGAAAGAGUGUUCAAAGCACUCUCACGCUUAUCAACUUAAUAAUGGUUUGGUUGAGGGUUUUAGGUCUCAUCACAUAUAAAUAUUCAUUUUAAUCUUUAUUAAAACAAUUUUGGUCCUAUUACAACUAUUGGUCCAUAUGAUUGUUUUAGUCGUAUAUAAUACUCCCACUAUGCUUAUAAAACGGUUUUUAAAGCAAGAGUAUAUGAUACUACUAACAUAAACUUUGCAUUCAUUUGAUGGACUAUAUAGUUGCCUUAGGGCCUUAGGAUGACUAUGAACCUUUGUUUAGAUUCAACACGAGCCUUGUGUUGAAUCUUGGUCUAGGGAUGGAGAUUGAUUUUAGUUACGCGUUUAAUCACAUUAAGGCGUGUUGUCUUAGGGGCGUUGGACCCAACUACUUCAUUUUCAUGCAUAUCAAAUAAAGCAAGAAAGAAGUACUUCAAAGUAAAGGUGAGCUUAUGCUCAUUACAACAUUUGCAUAAAACAAAUUACCUUAAAGUAAAGAAGGGCUUAUGCCCUUUUACAACAUUUGAUCAAAUCAAAUUACAACCAAAAUCUAAUCUACACAUUCCCAUGGUUCAAACAAAUUUGAAACGGCCUUUCACAUAGCUCAAUUAUAUUAGGCUUAGGUUCAUAAUCAUCCUUUAAUUAAUUAACACUUUAACUAAUUAAAUUGAAUGCAACAUUUUCAUUUGGUUUUUUGUAUCCAUAAAAUUGAUUUAAAUGGAGCUAAUGAAAUGAAAAUCCAAUUCUCAUUUAAAGAGACAAAACAAUUUUGUUCUCAACCUAAUUUGGGCCAAAAUGCAAUUACCACAACCUUUGGGCAAUAUUGCAAAAACAUAAACUUUUGGGGUCACUUUGUAAGAACACAAAAGUCCACUACUUCAUGUAAUUACACUAGAACCCAAAAUUUAAACAAUGUAAAAACUUCAUUAAAGGAGCAAAACAAUUUGUCCUUUAGCGUUUUUGGACCUAAACGUAAAAACGUAAACUUUUGGGCCAAAAUGCAAAUACACAAAAGUAUCAAAACUUUAUGUAAUUGCAUAAAAGCCCCAAAAGUACCCUAUAAUGUAGGGUGGCCGGUUUUGGGAGAGGAAAGGAGUGAUGUGUGUGUUGAUUUGUGAGUUUUGACAUAAAGCAAUCAAGUGGUGCAAGUGGUGUGUGUGAAAGGAAAUUAAUCCUUACACACCCACCAAUAUUUCUUACACCAUUUAAACAAAUAUCUAAAACAUUUAAAUAAAAAUCUAACACAUUUAAAUAUAAGAUAAAUCACUAAACAAAGACUUUAUGAAAUAAACCAAAACUUUGAAUCAAAACACAAACCUUUUUGUUCUUGGCAAAAAUGUCAAGAACAAUGAAGAACAUUCAUGAAAAACCCAAAAUUUUUCCAUGAACAUUUUUCACCCAAAAACAUUCCAAAACCAUUCAAACUUAAGGGAAAUAACAUCUAACCAAACUAGGGUACAUAGGGGUUCCAAAAGUCACUUUAAAACACUUUUAACAAGUCAAACAAGAACCCAAAAAAUCACCCUAUGUAUUUGGCCGAAUUUUCCCAAAAGCAUGGCACCAAAUUUUAGCUCCAAUAUUUAUGCUCAUAUGAACUACAUCUACAACAUUUGAGAUGGCAAAUUUUCUAACAAAAUUUACAUUCAAAGAAACAAGAAUAAAGCUUGUAACAUAUUACAACUUUUAAAUCACAAACUAUGAACCACAAAACCCAAAAGGAUUCACCAACUACUAGACCUAGGCUCUGAUACCACUUGAAGGAAGAUUUUGUGAAAACAUGUUCAUUUGAAUAACAUCUAUAGCAUGCAUUUAACAAUUAAAAGGCGGAAUCAUGCUUGCAUGCAUUCAAAAACAAAACAUUACCUAUGAAAUUCAAAGCCUAGUAGAUUGGUGAACCAAGACUCAACUCAAAUCAAAGUGAGUUGAGAAAUUUAUACCUUUGUAGAUUCCUCUUUGCAUAAGCAAAGGCUAAUCACCCAAAGAGAGGGCCUUCAUUCCUUGCAUCUUAAAUCUAUGGAUUUGGAUGGAUGAAAAAGUUUCUCCAAGUUCCCAAAAUUGAGAACCUCUAAGUAUCUUCACCAAGGUUAGAUUGGAGAAGAAAUGAGUGACCUUGGAGUAGUUAGUAUGGCUAGAUACACCUUCCAAGGGGCCGGCCUCUUUAGAGAGAAAUGGAGAGACAUGUUCUCUCCAAUUUUCUCCAAAACAAAACCUAAAUGAAUUUUGGCUAUAAAGUCAUAUUUAUACCUUAAUUCAUUGGAGUGGCAAACUUGUAAAUAAGUCCAAAACCCACUCCAAAACCAAAUGGCCGGCCAUGGGAUAUUAUUGGCCUAAUUGGGCCUUUGUGAAUUAAGUUGUCAUACAACUUAAGUCAAUGGACUUGACGUUCGAAGCCCAUUGGGCAUUGAGGCCCAAAACUAUCCCGAGGUCUUUAACGAACUUUAUUCGUUUGAUUAAUUAACAUAUUAAUUAAUCCUUGCCAUAAAUAAUUAAACCAUUUAAUUAUUCUUACUCAUCUCCAUUGUUUUCUUCAAUCUCCACCUUACACGGUGUGUACGAUCCAUUAGGUUCCUUUUAGCGAGGCAGUGGGCGAUUAAAACCAUUUUACAUCGAUUGUGAAUUGAAACUUACUUUCAAUUCUCCCUUUAGUGAUUACACACGUUUAGGGCUUCCACAAACCAUGAGUGACACCUAGCAGUAUAUCAUGGUUACCCAAGCUAAUCAGAAGAGGUGGAGAACCUAUUCAGUUUAGGAUUACAAAUGCAAUACGGCCUUUCUCUAAUCUAAUACUCUUGACCACAUUGUUUGGUUUGAUAGUUUAUUUAUUCAUGUCUACUAUCCAAUGUGAUUCGUGUGCUUAUAUGAUUUCCUUGAAUGUGAUUUGGAACGCAUUCCUAAAUCUCAUUCAUACUCUGGCCAGAGGUUCUAAAUCAUAUCAUAGAGUAUUCUCCCUCAAACCAUUUGAAGGUUAGAGAUCCCUUGUUGCGCAUUCACUUGCCUCCAUGACUAAGUGGCUUAACCCCAACGAUGCCGUGGACACCCCGAUAGGGUGACUUUGACAUAAUCAAAGAUCAAGGACUUAACCACAAGACAACUGUGAUGCCUCAGGU
rnacentral:lncRNA from 1 species